rnacentral:rRNA from 1 species
UACGUAGGGGGCAAGCGUUGUCCGGAAUCAUUGGGCGUAAAGCGCGUGUAGGCGGCUCGAUAAGUCUGCUGUGAAAGUCCAGGGCUCAACCCUGGAAUGCCGGUGGAAACUGUCGAGCUAGAGUCCGGAAGAGGCGAGUGGAAUUCCUGGUGUAGCGGUGGAAUGCGCAGAUAUCAGAAGGAACACCAGUGGCGAAAGCGGCUUCCUGGUCCGACACCGACGUUCAGGCACGAAAGCGUGGGGAGCAAACAGG